rnacentral:rRNA from 1 species
UAGGUGUUGGAGGGUUUCCGCCCUUCAGUGCCGCAGCUAACGCAUUAAGCACUCCGCCUGGGGAGUACGACCGCAAGGUUGAAACUCAAAGGAAUUGACGGGGGCCCGCACAAGCGGUGGAGCAUGUGGUUUAAUUCGAAGCUACGCGAAGAACCUUACCAGGUCUUGACAUCUUGCGCCAACCCUAGAGAUAGGGCGUUUCCUUCGGGAACGCAAUGACAGGUGGUGCAUGGUCGUCGCCAGCUCGUGUCGUGAGAUGUUGGGUUAAGUCCCGCAACGAGCGCAACCCUUGUUACUAGUUGCCAGCAUUCAGUUGGGCACUCUAGUGAGACUGCCGGUGACAAACCGGAGGAAGGUGGGGACGACGUCAGAUCAUCAUGCCCCUUAUGACCUGGGCUACACACGUGCUACAAUGGACGGUACAACGAGUCGCGAACUCGCGAGGGCAAGCUAAUCUCUUAAAACCGUUCUCAGUUCGGACUGCAGGCUGCAACUCGCCUGCACGAAGUCGGAAUCGCUAGUAAUCGCGGAUCAGCAUGCCGCGGUGAAUACGUUCCCGGGCCUUGUACACACCGCCCGUCACACCAUGAGAGUUUGCAACACCCAAAGUCGGUGGGGUAACCCUUCGGGGAGCUAGCCGCCUAAGGUGGGGCAGAUGAUUAGGGUGAAGUCGUAACAAGGUAGCCGUAGGAGAACCUGCGGCUG